AGUCUUAUAUUCUAUACAAAAAUAAGAAAUAAAAUUGCAAAUUUUAAAAAAUAAAUAUUUAUUUAUUAAGACUU
rnacentral:tRNA from 1 species